GCAGGGGCCAGGCUCUCCGGAGCUUCCCGUGCACAAGGAUGCAGGAGUGACACAAGAUACAAUCUCUGCCUCCAGAGUUUUUGCAAUGACCCUAAAAUGAAAAUUCCAAAUGAAUUUCAAGAAGUCAAACACAGGAGCAUCUCACAGUCGGUGAUGUUGGGUUGAUGGAGGCCCCAGAUUUCAAAGUGGCAGGGCCUGUCAGACAGGCACCAAGAAGAGGGAUGAGCAGCCGCAAGCUCAGAGAAGCUCUGUCACAGAAAACUUUGCGGGGACUCAGAACUGUGGGGGGCAGGACGGGGGGCACAAUGAAUGAGGGGGAUGCAAGAGGCCAGGGUGGCACCAUGCUGAGCUCCUGAACACUGGAGAGAACCAAGCAGUGGCUGGUGAUUCCACUAAGACGCAGGAGAAGAUUUGGGACCCGGAGCUUCCUGUACAGCAUGGGCCUGGAUUUAGAGUUCAGAGGGCCUGCUUGACCUGGGGCAAGGACAGAAGCUCCCUGCACC